AGGAGAUCAAGUUUCAAGAGUGAGUUGACCUUGCUGCUUGCUUUUAAAGCCACCUCUCCCUUUAUUGUGCUCCAGCCUUUGCUUUCGGCUUGGAUUUGCGGGGCAGGGGGGUGGGGAGAAAAGUGGAAGGAUCAAACAGGUUGAAGGAGGUACUGUUUUCUUGUUGCAGGAACAUGGCCCUUUACACUGCGAUUGUAAUACAAUCCAUCCUCUCUGGGACUGCGAAUGCUACAGUGCAAAACUGUGUUUGAAAACCUCUUUUAUCAUUCAUCGUCUCCAGACCGAAAUCAUUUUUGACAACCUCUGCAGAAAACAAGCAGCUUUCUGGCUACUGGUGAGCCGAUUAAAGGGAGGAAACACAUGUUCACUGUCAGACCGAGCCCCUGGAGAAAGCAACGACAAC